rnacentral:rRNA from 1 species
CCUACGGGCGGCAGCAGUGGGGAAUAUUGCACAAUGGGGGAAACCCUGAUGCAGCGACGCCGCGUGAGUGAAGAAGUAAUUCUUUACGUAAAGCUCUAUCAGCAGGGAAGAAAAUGACGGUACCUGAGUAAGAAGCCCCGGCUAACGACGUAACAGCAGCCGCUGUAAUACGUAGGGGGCAAGCGUUAUCCGGAUUUACUGGGGUGAAAGGGAGCGUUAACGGUGCGCCAAGGCUGGAGUGAAAUGCCCCAGGUUAACUGCGGAACUGCUUUGGAAACUGGCGAACUAGAGUGCGGGAGGGGUAAGCGGAAUGCCUAGUGUAGCGGUGAAAUGCGUAGAUAUUAGGAGGAACACCGGUGGCGAAGGCGGCUUACUGGACCGUAACUGACGUUGAGGCUCGAAAGCGUGGGGAGCAAACAGGAUUAGAUACCCCAGUAGUC